rnacentral:rRNA from 1 species
AUCUGUGGGGAAUCUUAGACAAUGGGGGCAACCCUGAUCUAGCCAUGCCGCGUGAGUGACGAAGGCCUUAGGGUCGUAAAGCUCUUUCGCUGGGGAAGAUAAUGACGGUACCCAGUAAAGAAACCCCGGCUAACUCCGUGCCAGCAGCCGCGGUAAUACGGAGGGGGUUAGCGUUGUUCGGAAUUACUGGGCGUAAAGCGCGCGUAGACGGAUUGGAAAGUUGGGGGUGAAAUCCCGGGGCUCAACCCCGGAACUGCCUCCAAAACUAUCAGUCUAGAGUUCGAGAGAGGUGAGUGGAAUUCCGGGUGUAGAGGUGAAAUUCGUAGAUAUUCGGAGGAACACCAGUGGCGAAGGCGAC